CAUUUCUUCUGAGACAUGAUGAGAUUUUUUUCUAAUUUAAGGUUGGGCUAUUAGGAACUCUACUAACAUAUGAAAAUGAUGAGAAAAUUUCAAGUAUAACUCUUCUGAUGGUUUCUUUCCUGGCCUAACAUGGGCUGUGUCUCUGUGUCACAAACUGCAGUGAUAUUAGUGAAAAUUAAUCAACCAUCUAGUUCCUACUCAAGAGGAGUUCCUGCUGUGGCACAACCAGGUUGACAGCAUCUCUAUAGCACCAGGGCAUGGGUUCGAACCCUAGCCCAAAGCAGUGGGCUAGAAGAUCCAGCAUUGAUUGCCAUGGGUGUGGCCUGAGUCACCACUAUGGCUUGGAUUUGAUCGCUGGCCAGGAACUCCAUAGCCAUGGGUGGCCAAAAAAGGUGUAAAAAAAAAAAAAAAAAAAAGGCAAUGCUUCAAGAAUACUGUUAACAAAAGUCACUAGGCAAUCACUGGAUGCAAGAGGACACAUUCAAAUUGUACCUAAAUAUCUAAGGAAAAACUGUGGAAAAUUCCACAGAAAACAAAGAUAUUUCCAUUUUCUCCACCAAUCCAAUCUCUAGAUCUAGAUGUAAAUGCCCA